GACGAACGCUGGCGGCGUGCCUAAUACAUGCAAGUCGAACGCAGUGGGGACGGGUGAGUAACACGUGGGUAACCUCCCAUCAGAGGGGAUAACACUUGGAAACAGGUGCUAAACCGAUACUGAUGGAUGGACCCGCGGUGCAUUAGCUAGUUGGUGAGGUAACAGCUGACCAAGGCCAUGAUGCAUAGCCGGACUGAGAGGGUGAUCGGCCACACUGGGACUGAGACACGGCCCAGACUCCUACGGGAGGCAGCAGUAGGGAAUAUUGGGCAAUGGACGAAAGUCUGACCGAGCAACGCCGCGUGAGUGAAGAAGGUUUUCGGAUCGUAAAACACUGUUAGUAGAGAGGCGGUAUCUAAAGAGAAAGCCACGGCUAACUACGUGCCAGCAGCCGCGGUAAUGC
rnacentral:rRNA from 1 species